UGCGAAGGUGGCGGAAUUGGUAGACGCGCUAGCUUCAGGUGUUAGUGUCCUUACGGACGUGGGGGUUCAAGUCCCCCCCCUCGCACCAA
rnacentral:tRNA from 35 species